rnacentral:rRNA from 1 species
AUUGAACGCUGGCGGCAGGCCUAACACAUGCAAGUCGAACGAGCGGCGGACGGGUGAGUAAUGCCUGGGAAACUGCCCGAUGGAGGGGGAUAACUACUGGAAACGGUAGCUAAAACCGCAUAUCAUCGGAUGUGCCCAGUUGGGAUUAGCUUGUAGGUGAGGUAACGGCUCACCUAGGCGACGAUCCCUAGCUGGUCUGAGAGGAUGACCAGCCACACUGGAACUGAGACACGGUCCAGACUCCUACGGGAGGCAGCAGUGGGGAAUAUUGCACAAUGGGCGAAAGCCUGAUGCAGCCAUGCCGCGUGUAUGAAGAAGGCCUUCGGAUUGUAAAGUACUUUCAGCAGGGAAGCGUUACCCACAGAGAAAGCACCGGCUAACUCCGUGCCAGCAGCCGCGGUAAUAC